CCUACGGGUGGCUGCAGUGGGGAAUAUUGGACAAUGGGGGGAACCCUGAUCCAGCCAUGCCGCGUGUGUGAAGAAGGCCCUCGGGUUGUAAAGCACUUUCAGUGAGGAAGAACGCCUGGUGGUUAAUACCCAUCAGGAAAGACAUCACUCACAGAAGAAGCACCGGCUAACUCCGUGCCAGCAGCCGCGGUAAUACGGAGGGUGCGAGCGUUAAUCGGAAUUACUGGGCGUAAAGCGCGCGUAGGUGGCUUGAUAAGCCGGUUGUGAAAGCCCCGGGCUCAACCUGGGAACGGCAUCCGGAACUGUCAGGAUAGAGUGCAGGAGAGGAAGGUAGAAUUCCCGGUGUAGCGGUGAAAUGCGUAGAGAUCGGGAGGAAUACCAGUGGCGAAGGCGGCCUUCUGGACUGACACUGACACUGAGGUGCGAAAGCGUGGGUAGCAAACAGGAUUAGAUACCCCUGUAGUC
rnacentral:rRNA from 1 species